rnacentral:rRNA from 1 species
AACUCCGUGCCAGCAGCCGCGGUAAUACGGAGGAUGCGAGCGUUAUCCGGGAUUCAUUGGGUUUAAAGGGUGCGUAGGCGGCUUUUUAAGUCAGUGGUGAAAUCCUGCCGCUUAACGGUAGAAUUGCCAUUGAUACUGAAGAGCUUGAGUACAAUUGAGGUAAGCGGAAUGUGUAGUGUAGCGGUGAAAUGCUUAGAUAUUACACAGAACACCGAUUGCGAAGGCAGCUUACUAAACUGUCACUGACGCUGAUGCACGAAAGCGUGGGGAGCGAACAGGAUUAGAUACCCUGGUAGUCCACGCCGUAAACGAUGAUCACUCGCUGUAUGCGAUACACAGUAUGCGGCCAAGCGAAAGCAUUAAGUGAUCCACCUGGGGAGUACGAUCGCAAGGUUGAAACUCAAAGGAAUUGACGGGGGCCCGCACAAGCGGAGGAACAUGUGGUUUAAUUCGUUGAUAC